AGCGGCGGACGGGUGAGUAACGCGUGGGUAACCUGCCUCGAUACAGGGGGAUAACAGUUAGAAAUGACUGCUAAUACCGCAUAAGCACACAGAACCGCAUGGUUCGGGGUGAAAAGCCGAGACGGUAUGAGAUGGACCCGCGUCUGAUUAGCUAGUUGGAGGGUAACGCCCACCAAGGCAACGAUCAGUAGCCGACCUGAGAGGGUGACCGGCCACAUUGGGACCGAGACACGGCCCAAACUCCUACGGAAGGCAGCAG
rnacentral:rRNA from 1 species